UACGUAGGGUGCGAGCGUUAAUCGGAAUUACUGGGCGUAAAGCGUGCGCAGGCGGCUUUGCAAGUCAGAUGUGAAAGCCCCGAGCUCAACUUGGGAACUGCAUUUGAAACUGGCGGGCUGGAGUGUGGCAGAGGGGGGUGGAAUUCCGACGUGUAGCAGUGAAAUGCGUAGAGAUGUGGAGGAACACCGAUGGCGAAGGCAGCCCCCUGGGCCAACACUGACGCUCAGGCACGAAAGCGUGGGGAGCAAACAGGAUUAGAUACCCCGG
rnacentral:rRNA from 1 species